rnacentral:rRNA from 1 species
UUAAAGAUCUGUGAAACAAAGAAAGCAAGAGAUCUAAGUUAUGAGUAAGGAAAAAAGAAAAGUCCAUGGAAGGUUGAAAGGUUCCUGGAAGAUUUGUUUCUUGGCGGUUAACGGUCAAUCAUUCUUGGUUAUAGACGGUUAUCUGUUAAAUCCUUUGUGGCG